rnacentral:rRNA from 3 species
GGGUUGUGAGGUUAAGCGACUAAGCGUACACGGUGGAUGCCCUGGCAGUCAGAGGCGAUGAAGGGCGUGCUAAUCUGCGAUAAGCGCCGGUAAGGUGAUAUGAACCGUUAUAACCGGCGAUACCCGAAUGGGGAAACCCAGUGUGAUUCGUCACACUAUCAUUAACUGAAUCCAUAGGUUAAUGAGGCGAACCGGGGGAACUGAAACAUCUAAGUACCCCGAGGAAAAGAAAUCAACCGAGAUUCCCCCAGUAGCGGCGAGCGAACGGGGAGGAGCCCAGAGCCUGAAUCAGCAUGUGUGUUAGUGGAAGCGUCUGGAAAGGCGCGCGAUACAGGGUGACAGCCCCGUACACAAAAGCGCAUGUGCUGUGAGCUCGAUGAGUAGGGCGGGACACGUGGUAUCCUGUCUGAAUAUGGGGGGACCAUCCUCCAAGGCUAAAUACUCCUGACUGACCGAUAGUGAACCAGUACCGUGAGGGAAAGGCGAAAAGAACCCCGGCGAGGGGAGUGAAAAAGAACCUGAAACCGUGUACGUACAAGCAGUGGGAGCACAGGUUUACCUGUGUGACUGCGUACCUUUUGUAUAAUGGGUCAGCGACUUAUAUUCUGUAGCAAGGUUAACCGAAUAGGGGAGCCGGAGGGAAACCGAGUCUUAACCGGGCGUUAAGUUGCAGGGUAUAGACCCGAAACCCGGUGAUCUAGCCAUGGGCAGGUUGAAGGUUGGGUAACACUAACUGGAGGACCGAACCGACUAAUGUUGAAAAAUUAGCGGAUGACCUGUGGCUGGGGGUGAAAGGCCAAUCAAACCGGGAGAUAGCUGGUUCUCCCCGAAAGCUAUUUAGGUAGCGCCUCGUGAAUUCAUCUCCGGGGGUAGAGCACUGUUUCGGCUAGGGGGCCAUCCCGGCUUACCAACCCGAUGCAAACUGCGAAUACCGGAGAAUGUUAUCACGGGAGACACACGGCGGGUGCUAACGUCCGUCGUGAAGAGGGAAACAACCCAGACCGCCAGCUAAGGUCCCAAAGUCAUGGUUAAGUGGGAAACGAUGUGGGAAGGCCCAGACAGCCAGGAUGUUGGCUUAGAAGCAGCCAUCAUUUAAAGAAAGCGUAAUAGCUCACUGGUCGAGUCGGCCUGCGCGGAAGAUGUAACGGGGCUAAACCAUGCACCGAAGCUGCGGCAGCGAACGUAUCACUUAAAGCGAUUCAGCGGGUUACGAUUGACGGAGCGAAGCGACGUCAAAGCGUAUACAAAGUCGAGUCGGUUUAAGGAUACGUUCGUUGGGUAGGGGAGCGUUCUGUAAGCCUGCGAAGGUGGCCUGUGAGGGUUGCUGGAGGUAUCAGAAGUGCGAAUGCUGACAUAAGUAACGAUAAAGCGGGUGAAAAGCCCGCUCGCCGGAAGACCAAGGGUUCCUGUCCAACGUUAAUCGGGGCAGGGUGAGUCGACCCCUAAGGCGAGGCCGAAAGG